rfam:Parcubacteria (Yanofskybacteria) bacterium GW2011_GWA1_39_13 TT29_C0001, whole genome shotgun sequence.
CGGGCCGUAGUGUAACGGUAACACGCACGAUUCGGGUUCGUGAGACUCCGGGUUCAAAUCCCGGCGGCCCGA